rnacentral:rRNA from 1 species
CCAAUAGCGUAUAUUAAAGUUGUUGCAGUUAAAAAGCUCGUAGUUGAAUUUCGGGAUCAGUACGCCGGUCGUGCCUCGGUAUGUACUGGUGUUACUGGUUCCUACCUUCUGACGAACCGUCAUGUCAUUAAUUUGGUGUGGCGGGAACUCAGGACUGUUACUUUGAAAAAAUUCGGGUGUUUAAAGCAGGCUCGCGCUUGAAUCAAUUAGCAUGGAAUAAUGAAAUAGGACGUUCGAUCCUAUUUUGUUGGUUUCUAGGAUUGACGUAAUGAUUAAUAGGGAUAGUUGGGGGCAUUAGUAUUCAAUUGUCAGAGGUGAAAUUCUUGGAUUUAUUGAAGACUAACUACUGCGAAAGCAUUUGCCAAGGAUGUUUUCAUUAAUCAGGAACGAAAGUUAGGGGAUCGAAGACGAUCAGAUACCGUCGUAGUCUUAACCAUAAACUAUGCCAACUAGGGAUCGGAUGAUGUUAUUUUUAAUGACUCAUUCGGCGCCUUACG